GAGGGUAUAGCUCAGUGGUAGAGUGCAUGCCUAGCAUUCACAAGGUCCUGGGUUCAAUCCCCAGCACCUCCA
rnacentral:tRNA from 1 species